GAAAAAUUAGUUAAACAUAACAUAAAAUUGUCAAUUUUAAAUUACUAAAGUAAUAGUAUUUUUCU
rnacentral:tRNA from 1 species